rnacentral:lncRNA from 1 species
AAUCGUGCUCAACUCAAACAGUCCUGUGACUCCUCACUAGGACUACUCUGGCCAAGAUUUUGCUAAAUUGAAACACGACUGUACACAGCUCCUGAACUGGAGUGGUCAAUCCCAUCUUGACACACGCACCGACAAGUCAAGUACUUGACUACACCCAGCAUCCUUCCAUCACUGAAUUAGAAAUUCAGGUAGUCCAGUGCCUAAGUGCAGUGAGUUGCUUGCAAGUCACCAUGGUGGUCUCAGGUCGGAGGGAC